GCGGAUGUGGCGGAAUUGGUAGACGCGCCAGACUUAGGAUCUGGUUCCUUUGGGAGUGGGGGUUCGAGUCCCUUCAUCCGCA
rnacentral:tRNA from 1 species